CGAUGAUGCCAGCUUGCUGGUGGAUUAGUGGCGAACGGGUGAGUAACACGUGAGUAACCUGCCCUUAACUCUGGGAUAAGCCUGGGAAACUGGGUCUAAUACCGGAUAUGACUCCUCAUCGCAUGGUGGGGGGUGGAAAGCUUUWUUGUGGUUUUGGAUGGACUCGCGGCCUAUCAGCUUGUUGGUGAGGUAAUGGCUCACCAAGGCGACGACGGGUAGCCGGCCUGAGAGGGUGACCGGCCACACUGGGACUGAGACACGGCCCAGACUCCUACGGGAGGCAGCAGUGGGGAAUAUUGCACAAUGGGCGAAAGCCUGAUGCAGCGACGCCGCGUGAGGGAUGACGGCCUUCGGGUUGUAAACCUCUUUCAGUAGGGAAGAAGCGAAAGUGACGGUACCUGCAGAAGAAGCGCCGGCUAACUACGUGCCAGCAGCCGCGGUAAUACGUAGGGCGCAAGCGUUAUCCGGAAUUAUUGGGCGUAAAGAGCUCGUAGGCGGUUUGUCGCGUCUGCCGUGAAAGUCCGGGGCUCAACUCCGGAUCUGCGGUGGGUACGGGCAGACUAGAGUGAUGUAGGGGAGACUGGAAUUCCUGGUGUAGCGGUGAAAUGCGCAGAUAUCAGGAGGAACACCGAUGGCGAAGGCAGGUCUCUGGGCAUUAACUGACGCUGAGGAGCGAAAGCAU
rnacentral:rRNA from 1 species